rnacentral:rRNA from 1 species
AUUGAACGCUGGCGGCAUGCUUUACACAUGCAAGUCGAACGGUAACAGGGAGCUUGCUCCGCUGACGAGUGGCGAACGGGUGAGUAAUGCGUCGGAACGUGCCGAGUAGUGGGGGAUAACGCAUCGAAAGGUGUGCUAAUACCGCAUACGAACUGAGGUUGAAAGUGGGGGACCUUCGGGCCUCACGCUAUUCGAGCGGCCGACGUCUGAUUAGCUAGUUGGUGAGGUAAAGGCUCACCAAGGCGACGAUCAGUAGCGGGUCUGAGAGGAUGAUCCGCCACACUGGGACUGAGACACGGCCCAGACUCCUACGGGAGACAGUAGUGGGGAAUUUUGGACAAUGGGCGCAAGCCUGAUCCAGCCAUGCCGCGUGUCUGAAGAAGGCCUUCGGGUUGUAAAGGACUUUUGUCCGGGAGCAAAUGCUGGUGGCUAACAUCCACCGGAGCUGAGAGUACCGGAAGAAUAAGCACCGGCUAACUACGUGCCAGCCGCCGCUGUAACAC